CCGACAUAUCUCUUUUCCUCUAUGGUCGAAAAUUCUAGAUUCAGCGAGAGAGAGGGAGUCCUCGUCCAUUAUCCGACUUUCCAUCCUUUCUCUAUCAUUUUUAAGGUCACUAGCCGUGCAAGCAAGAGAUGAGAUUCGGAUAGCAGGUCUCGGGAUCCUAUUUCAUCGCUGAUCCUCAGAUCAUUUCAGUCGUGGGUGUUGUCGGACCCUCUUUCUCCUCCUCCAUUCUUUCCGUUCAAGAAUCGUGAGCACGCAAGGAACUGGUCUAACAGUUUUGGAGGUCUGAUUCAUGAAAGGGAGGCUGGUGAGUGGCUGUCGUCUUCUCCCCUGUUCCGUCGACCCUUUCUUUCUCCUCCUCUGUUCGUGUUUUUUUUUUUGCUGUCCGUGUGGAGGUGAGUACUCAGAUCAUCUUCUUUCUUGUUUUUUUACCUUGUUCGUUCGUGGCUUGUGACUGGGGAGUGACAAAAAUCUUCCUCCUUUGACUGUGUUGUAGCUUGUUUGCAUCGAAUCCCUUCUCCCCUGUACAGCUCAUGACUUUCUUCCCUUUCUUUCUGCGUUGUUGAUGUUCUGUGAUGGCUGGAGAUUUUUAUUUCUUUCUCGUUGUAGCUGUGUGUGAUUGGAGUAGUAGAAGGGAGUCUGAUCAUAUUCAAGAUUUAAGCUUAAGAAUAUGGUUUUUGGUAGCUAAUUUCUCUUACUUACAUUGGUUCCACUGGAAGAAUAAAUUGAUUUAACUAUCUUUGAGCUUAAUUGGGAAGUUGUUGAACUUAAAAUUGGUAUUGAGGUACUGAGGAAGUUAUUGGAAUGGAAAAAAAAAACCUUGGAUUAUUAGUUUUAGUGUUAAUGCUUAUGAGGUGUUUGAUAAAAUGCCUAUUAGGAGGAGUUUUGUUUAGUUAUAAUUUUCUAAAAUUUUUACUAACCUUUUUGAAGUCAUACUUGGCUUGGGUGCUAAUUAUUUAUAAAAGAAACUUCAAUUUUGUGAAGAAUGCCAAUUAUGAAACUAUUGUGAGUUUGACUGGUAUAUUGCAAGCAAUACUAAUGAUUAUGGAGGUUAUAUGUAGUUAGUACAAUAUUUGAGGCAAUAUUUGAAAAAUAAUAUUGGAGUUAAGAUUUAUCUAUUCUACUUCCUGAAUUGAUUUGGCCUAGUUGUGAAGUGUGACAUGUGUAUGUAUAAUAUUGAAAGGAUUGAUUGAUUAAAGGCAGCGAUUGGAUUGGUUUAAGAACUUAGUGACUAUGAUGUUAGGAGAGGAGGGUUUAUUAAAUUUGAGCAGAGGUCACUAAAUUUUGUAUUAUUGAAUAGGGAUUUAGAGAAAGAAAUUCUUGAUUAAGGUAAUAAGGAAGGAUUGAAGCUUUAAAGGGUAAAUUUUGCGCUUGGAGAUGUUGCAGUUAGGGAUCUGAUGCUAGCGAAAUGGAUGAUCUGGUGAAGAAAAGUUAAUACUCAUACAUAAAGAGAGCAGCACGUGCACCGCCAUGGCUCAAAAUUAUUAAUUUCACUCUCUUCAUCGGUGCCUCUGGUGGUCUUCUUUAUACAUGUCCAAACUAUCUUAAAUGAUUUCAAUAUUAUUAUUAGGGUACUUUUGUCAAAUCUUCAGACUUAUAGAAGCUUGUGCAAUUAUGUAGUUACUGAGAAAACUAAUGUGUAGGUCAUUAUAAUUUUUCUUAAUUUUA